GAGUUUGAUCCUGGCUCAGGAUGAACGCUAGCGGGAGGCUUAACACAUGCAAGUCGAGGGGCAGCACGAGGUAGCAAUACUUUGGUGGCGACCGGCGUACGGGUGAGUAACGCGUAUGCAACCUACCCUGUACUGGGGGAUAGCCCGGAGAAAUUCGGAUUAAUAUCCCAUAAAGAUAUAAGAAGGCAUCUUUUAAUAUUUAAAGUUUCGACGGUACGGGAUGGGCAUGCGUAACAUUAGCUAGUUGGUAGGGUAAUAGCCUACCAAGGCGACGAUGUUUAGGGGUCCUGAGAGGGUGAUCCCCCACACUGGUACUGAGACACGGACCAGACUCCUACGGGAGGCAGCAGUGAGGAAUAUUGGUCAAUGGGCGCAAGCCUGAACCAGCCAUCCCGCGUGCAGGAAGAAGGCGCUAUGCGUUGUAAACUGCUUUUCCAGAGGAAGAAAACCCCCGACGAGUCGGGGCUUGCCGGUACUUUGGGAAUAAGCAUCGGCUAACUCCGUGCCAGCAGCCGCGGUAAUACGGAGGAUGCGAGCGUUAUCCGGAUUUAUUGGGUUUAAAGGGUGCGUAGGCGGAUUAAUAAGUCAGUGGUGAAAACCUUCAGCUUAACUGGAGACUUGCCAUUGAUACUGUUAGUCUUGAGUACGGUCAAGGUAGGCGGAAUGUGUAAUGUAGCGGUGAAAUGCUUAGAUAUUACACAGAACACCGAUUGCGAAGGCAGCUUACUGGGCCAUUACUGACGCUGAUGCACGAAAGCGUGGGGAGCGAACAGGAUUAGAUACCCUGGUAGUCCACGCCGUAAACGAUGAUCACUCGCUGUUAGCGAU
rnacentral:rRNA from 1 species